GUGGGGAAUAUUGGACAAUGGGGGGAACCCUGAUCCAGCCAUGCCGCGUGUGUGAAGAAGGCCUUUUGGUUGUAAAGCACUUUAAGCGAGGAGGAGGCUACCGAGAUUAAUACUCUUGGAUAGUGGACGUUACUCGCAGAAUAAGCACCGGCUAACUCUGUGCCAGCAGCCGCGGUAAUACAGAGGGUGCAAGCGUUAAUCGGAUUUACUGGGCGUAAAGCGCGCGUAGGUGGCCAAUUAAGUCAAAUGUGAAAUCCCCGAGCUGAACUUGGGAAUUGCAUUCGAUACUGGUUGGCUAGAGUAUGGGAGAGGAUGGUAGAAUUCCAGGUGUAGCGGUGAAAUGCGUAGAGAUCUGGAGGAAUACCGAUGGCGAAGGCAGCCAUCUGGCCUAAUACUGACACUGAGGUGCGAAAGCAUGGGGAGCAAACAGGAUUAGAAACCCUAGUAGUCC
rnacentral:rRNA from 1 species